GAAGAGCCAGGAGGAUAGGUUGUUCAGUUUACUACUGGAGACCUGACUGUGACAGACCACCAAGAAAACAAAAUUUUCAAAGAGAGCAAAGAUGACCUUCUGCAGCAUCUGCAAGCCUCUCCUUUUUUUCUUCAGAGUUACAUGGGAUAACUUAGCCAGAACUUACUGAUGACUGCAUGUUCAGUAGACUCGGGAAUGGACUGAGAGAUGCGGGAAGGCACUCUUUGGAAGGAACAGAAGAGGAGGCAUUUCAAAGAUCCUGCAGGUGACUGAGGUGAUGAUCUGCUGCUGAGAUAAAUAAAUCUUAGAAAUUGAUGAGACUGCUCAGCCAUUUGCUGUGGUACCACUCCCACAUGAGGAACGCGUAUCAUCAUCUUUCUUCAAGUAUCUUCUCUCCUGUGAUGAUGUAAAUUCACGGAAAAUGGUCUCAGAAUCUGUCUAGACAAUGCUUUUGGUUGUUUGAGAGUCUAUGCACAAUGUUUAAGAGUCUUGCUCUAU